AUUGAACGCUGGCGGCAGGCUUAACACAUGCAAGUCGAACGAGUGGCGGACGGGUGAGUAAUUUCUGGGAAACUGCCUGAUGGAGGGGGAUAACUACUGGAACCGGUAGCUAAUACCGCAUCCCAUCGGAUGUGCCCAGAUGGGAUUAGCUAGUGGGUGGGGUAAAGGCUCACCUAGGCGACGAUCCCUAGCUGGUCUGAGAGGAUGACCAGCCACCCUGGAACUGAGACACGGUCCAGACUCCUACGGUAGGCAGCAGUGGGGAAUAUUGCACAAUGGGCGCAAGCCUGAUGCAGCCAUGCCGCGUGUAUGAAGAAGGCCUUCGGGUUGUAAAGUUCUUUCUGCGGGGAGGCGUUACCCGCAGAAGAAGCACCGGCUAACGCCGUGCCAGCAGCCGCGGUAAGAC
rnacentral:rRNA from 1 species